rnacentral:rRNA from 1 species
UACGGAGGGUGCAAGCGUUAUCCGGAUUCACUGGGUUUAAAGGGUGCGUAGGUGGGCAGGUAAGUCAGUGGUGAAAUCCCCGAGCUUAACUCGGGAACUGCCAUUGAUACUAUCUGUCUUGAAUAUCCUGGAGGUAAGCGGAAUAUGUCAUGUAGCGGUGAAAUGCUUAGAUAUGACAUAGAACACCCAUUGCGAAGGCAGCUUACUACGGGAUUAUUGACACUGAGGCACGAAAGCGUGGGGAUCAAACAGG